UACGUAGGGGGCAAGCGUUGUCCGGAAUCAUUGGGCGUAAAGAGCGUGUAGGCGGUCCGGUAAGUCGGCUGUGAAAGUCCAGGGCUCAACCCUGGGAUGUCGGUCGAUACUGCCGGACUAGAGUUCGGAAGAGGCGAGUGGAAUUCCCGGUGUAGCGGUGAAAUGCGCAGAUAUCGGGAGGAACACCUAUGGCGAAGGCAGCUCGCUGGGACGUUACUGACGCUGAGACGCGAAAGCGUGGGGAGCAAACAGG
rnacentral:rRNA from 1 species